AGAUGUGGAGGAACACCGAUGGCGAAGGCAGCCCCCUGGGUUAACACUGACGCUCAGGCACGAAAGCGUGGGGAGCAAACAGGAUUAGAUACCCUGGUAGUCCACGCCCUAAACGAUGUCAACUAGUUGUCGGGUCUUAACUGACUUGGUAACGCAGCUAACGCGUGAAGUUGACCGCCUGGGGAGUACGGUCGCAAGAUUAAAACUCAAAGGAAUUGACGGGGACCCGCACAAGCGGUGGAUUAUGUGGAUUAAUUCGAUGCAACGCGAAAAACCUUACCUACCCUUGACAUGUGCCGAACCC
rnacentral:rRNA from 1 species